AGCUGAGAGCACUCAGCUCAUAGAUUCUCUGUGGGGAGAGUGAAUAAAGUUACCUGGGACUAAUUGUAGAGAGGAGAAUUUAAUCGAAAAUGUGAAGAACAGAGAAGACAUACAAGCUAAUUAGUGUUUUCCUACUUAUCAAAGACCCUUGGUUCAGAGACUAAAGGUGGAGCUAGGGGAAAAUGAGUUUAAUGUGAAGUAGUGCCCCUGUCAGUUCUGUUUGUCCUGGGAAAUACACAAGGAAGAAAAGCCUCCAUGGAAGACAGAGGAAGCACCAGGUGCUGAAGGUUUUCACUGAAAACCCAAACCAAGAAAUAGCAACACAUCUAGAAUACUUACUACUAUAAAGCUCACCUGGAUA
rnacentral:lncRNA from 1 species